AUGCCGUCCUCCUCCGCUGCCCGAUGCCGUGUCGCACGUGCCGUCGUCGUCGCGCUCGAUGCCGCCUCCUCCCUGGCGUUGCUGCCUCGCUGCCCACUGCGCCGCCGUGUACAUGAGCGCGCCGUCCGCUCGCUCGCCGUCCGCCUAUCCACGCCGUCGCAGCCGCUCGUCGAAGGCCUUCAGGCGACCGAGCGCGUCCUCGAAUGGCAUGGUGGAGACGUCGCAAAACUGCUCGGUUCCGCCCACCGCCGCGUACAAGCGAUCCGGCACAGAAUCGAGGAGCUUCUUCACCAUCGCGGCGUCGUCCAGCGUCGACCCAAGUCCCGCGUAGCGCGCCACCAUGCCGCCGAGCUUGCCAGCGAACCCAUCCAGCGUGUCGCCCUCCGCCUAGCGCGGCAUCUCAAACUCCCCUCGGAGAGUGCCCAGCCGCGCCGCCCGGACUCGGUCCGCCCCGACGAACCUCGCCUUGAGGCUCGCCCUGACCUCCGCCGCCGUCUUCUUCCUCGACACCUGCAAGAGCAGGUCCUCGGAGAGUGCCCCGAGCAGGUACGUGCGGGCGGGCUUGUCCUUCUUCGCCACCACCGCCGACGCCGAGUCCUCCGCCAGCACCACCGCCUCCCAGAGCCCGGCCGCGUCCAGGUUCGCCUCGACCUUGAUGGCCCACGUGGUGUAGUUGUCACCAAUGAGCUAUGGCACCUGCAUCGGCAGUGA
rnacentral:rRNA from 1 species